rnacentral:lncRNA from 10 species
AUCUCGUUUACUGUUAUAAUUUCCUCAGUUAUCAUUUUUGCAAAGGUGGUUUCACAUACAUUUAUGUAUGUAUGUAUAUACAUAUGUGAGACAGGUAUGUGAAAGACAAAUACAAGGUAGUGCACAGUAAGUGUUACAUGAAUAUUAUAAAAUAAGUUGAUAUUACACGUAACUUUCAAUGGAUCAGUAGUCUUCAGCUUAUUAAAUAAACUUACUAAAAGCAAAUUUUCAAAAAUGCUUAUAAAUACCAAAACAUAUGUUUUUGUUUCUUUACUAAGUGUUAUCUACCAUAUUUAUUAUCCUCGCUGUUUUAGCCAGUAUUUGACUUGGAAAAGAGAAAACAUUCCGUUGGAGGAAGAACCUUAGGAAGUCACCUGACUUAGAUGUCAGAUGAAACUUUCAGAAGAUAUACUGACUAAGAUCUCGAUAGAAAUUGCUCAGGAGGGGAGGCAAAUGAGAAGACAUUCCAGGCAGAGAGAAUGUCCAGGCAGAGAGAGAAAGUGAGGAAGUGAGAAAGAUGUGCCUUCCAGAAACUGAAAGAAAUGCAAUAUGGUUGGAGUGUAGUAUAUUUGGGGUUGACAAGAAGCAGAGCUGGAAAAUGAUGAAAGUAGAGAGGUAAUGCAGAACCAAAUCAUGAGAGCUCACUUAAGCCAAUUUCAAAGUUUGGAGGAACUUAGCAAUAAAAGGUUGCUUUUGAAUAUGUCAUGAGCAGUAAGGAAGCUUGUUUCUUGCCAAGACAACUCUUUCUUAUUAUGUUUAAUCAGCUUUUUUAAACCUGAAGCAAAUAUGGCAAAAUGUUAUGAUUUACUUAAACAGAAUAGCUUUUGUAAAUAAUAUUCUUUAUACUUUUAUGCUAUGUUUAAAUUUGCAUAACAAAACUUAAGAGAGGUACAGACUAAUGCGUAGAUCAAUCCAAUAAAUAAGGACCUCCACUUUCCACUUUCAUAUCUCCAGUAUUAUUAAUGGAAGGAAAUUUUGUAUAAAGUCCAAACAGUGGCCCUCAUUUUAACUCUUAGAAAGCAGAGGCAUUAUAUGUUAGGGAGUGCUUGUCAAAGCACAGCUGAAAUAAUGAUAGGAUUUCUUGCUUACAGCAAUUCAUAAUGUCUAUUAAUGUAUAUCAAUGGAAACAUGUUAUAUGAAAAUUGUAGGUGGGAAAUUGGAUACGCCCAUAAUAUACCUAGAGGUGCAUUUAUGCCUAUUGAGCAUCUUUCUUACAUAAGCCUCUACCUAUUGAUAUUGCUGAAUCAUUUCUACCUGCUGACCUAAGUCCUGGCCUUCUGUGGCCAAUAGAAGAUGUCUCUAAAACUACUGUGCAUCAGUCUUUCACUUCAAGUAUUUCUGAACAUGUAUGUGUAGUAAUGUAUAGACAGCGUUUUCCCAUUGUACUUUGUUUUUGAACUUCUAAGCAUAACCCAGAUGUCCAAAGGUGCAUGCCUGGGGUGGGGGAGUUUGUUCUGUGAAGCAUGAACCAGCCUCAUUACUUAAGGUAGUUCUCUCCCUUUCCUUCUAACAAAUUUAAGUCUCUGCUCCAGACUCCGAAGAGUAGAUGUCAUUCUUCAAAAGCAAUUUAUAAUGUUUGUUAAGGACUUCUCAGCAUUUAGUUAUAAAAUUACUCAAAUGCUUAGCAGUCCUCAAAUCAUCCAUGUCAUUCCAAGAUCAUCUCUAUCAACCAGAAAUGAUAUAAAAUUAAAGAAUUAUUAUGGACAAGCAUAGUAAUUAUUUGGUAAUGGCGAAGUUGGUAAUGGCUCUAUGGAAUCCUUUCCAGUGCCUUUAAUUCCUCAGAAACGGUGGCCACGACAUUGACAAAUUGACUUCUGACACAUGGUUAAAAUACUGGCAAUGACCUAUGCCCAAAAGUUCAGCUUUGAACUGGAAACAACAGAAUAGUUUUCUUCUUCCAUGAAACUUCAAAAAAUAUAUACAGAAGAAAGACUUAGAGGCAUGUUGGGAUGUUGUCUCCUUUGCAUAUCAUAGAGCCAAGUUUCCCAUCUCUAGAAUAUCAUUUAUUGCCUACUUUUAUAGAGAGCUAUUUGUGUUUCUACUUCUCUUACCAGACAAUAAACUUCUUGAAUGGAAUAAUUAACUAAGGUUUUUUCACCUUCCAACAGGUGAAAUCCAGCAAUUAACACACUGUCUGUAACAAAGUAGAAGCUCAGAAAAUGUUAACCAACCAAAAUUGGCUUGAAAUCAUGGUUUCCAGAAGAAUUAGGCUUUGUGGAAAAUCACUGCUGAGUCAGAAAUUGGCAAGAAUCAUUUUAUGCCCUAUUGGCAUGUGGUUCUCUCUCCAUUUCUUUCUCUCUCUCUUUUUUUUUUUUUAUGAAGGAGUCUUGCUCUGUAGCCCAGGCUGGGAGUGCAGUGGCGUGAUCUCAGCUCACAGCAAUCUCGUCUCCUGCAUUCAAGUGAUUCUCGUGCCCCAGCCUCCCGAGUAGCUGAGAUUACAGAGAUGUGACACCAUGCCCGGCUGAUUUUUUUUUUUUUUUUUUUUUGGUAUUUUUAGUAGAGACAGCAUUUCACCAUGUUGACCAGGCUGGUCUCAAACUCCUAACCUCAGGCGAUCCGCCCACCUCGGCCUCCCAAAGUGGUGGGAUUACAGGCAUGAGCCACUGAGCCUGCCCUCUCUCUCCAUUUCAAAGUGGUUCUUUCAAAAUGAAUCUGCUGAGAGCAGAGCCCAGGUGUUGAGAGCAUCUGUAUGUAUCUAUUUUCAUCGAUUGUAGAAGUUCCAAGGUGGUUAGGCUGGCAAGUUAAAAUUAAUGUAAAAAUUUUUUCCCAGUGUCUCUAGCACAAAGAGGGAAGAAAUCUUAAAAUUAAAGUUUUAAUAUCUGGUGAAGACAUAAUGAAAUUUUAAUAUUACAAAAGAAAUAAGGUUUGUAUAAAUAUUACAAUAAGAAAUAAGGUUUGUCUAAAUAGUUUUGCAAUGUUCCAUGGAAAUGAAUGCUAUACCAAACUUAUUUCAAACAGAAAUUUAAAAGUUCCUUAAAAAGUGCAAGAAUUGAGAGCCUGCACUUUCUGUUAAUCUUGUAAUCAUCCAGCUAUAUACCCAUGAUGAAUUUUCUUCAUUAGUUUUGCCUUGACAGGAAAAUAUAGCUGGCUGAAGUGACUGAAGCAUUUACCCUUUCAAAAGUAGUAUGCUAAGUUUCCAUGUAUUCAUUUUAAUUCAUUUUUAUCCUUUUUGUUUCCAUGGGAUAGUAGAAAUUGUGUUCUCCACCCAUCACUACAAAAGUAGUCAUCAAAAAUACCUAAAAACAUAAUGGAUCAGAAGUUCUAUGACACCCAGUGCCAAGAGAAUGUGAAGAAUCUUAUUUACAAAUAUGAGAGGAAGUCACUGUCCAUCAUACAGUGCUUUAAUUUGAGAGGCUGAACUGAUGUCUGUGGAGAAAAGAACACGAAGGAAUAAUGUAAUAUGAAACUCCCUAACAUGAUACAUAUACAAAGACUAUUGAGAAAUCAAUGUGGAAAAUGCAAAACUAAGGGAGAAAGCAUUUUGAACCACUCAUCUAAGAAUAUGGUCAGUAUUAAAAAGACAAGAAUAUCAGAAAAAUCUCCCAAGUUAUGUUCAUAGGCUUAGCAGAAUAAAGGUAAGGCUUACUAGUUAAAUGAAUGAGAGAGGAGAAUUUUUUCUAAAUCUUAGAAAAUGUUCAGGCUCUCCCAUCUUUCUCCACACCCCUCAUGAGCAUCUCUGUAAAAACUGCCAUCAGGACCAAAGACAGCAGCUCUCAGUUUAACGUAGGUGCCAGUGACCAAACUACCGCUCAAGGAAAUAAGAGAGGAUACAAACAAAUGGAAAAACAUUCCAUGCUCAUGGAUAGGAAGAAUCAAUAUCGUGAAAAUGGCCAUACUGUCCAAAGUAAUUUAUAGAUUCAAUGCUAUUCCCAUAAAGCUACCAUUGACUUUCUUGAUAGAAUUAGAAAAAACCACUUUAAAUUUCAUAUGGAACCAAAAAAGAGCCUGUAUACCAAAGACAAUCCUAAGCAAAAAGAACAAAACAUCACGCUACCUGACUUCAAACUAUACUACAAGGCUACGGUAACCAAAACAGCACGGUACUGGUACCCAAACUGAUAUAUAGACCAAUGGGACAGAACAGAGGCCUCAGAAAUAACACCACACAUCUACAACCAUCUGAUCUUUGACAAACCUGACAAACACAAGCAAUGGGAAAAGAAUACCCUAUUUGAUAAAUGCUGUUGGGAAAACUGGUUAACCGUAUACAGAAAACUGAAACUGGACCCUUUCCUUACACCUUAUACAAAAAUUAACUCAAGAUGGAUUAAAGAUUUAAAUAUAAGACCUAAAAUCAUAAAAAUCCUUUGUAUCCCAAGUGCUCAGCACACAGUCUCUGACACUAAACAUUUGUUGAACUAAUUAAAUAGAGGAAAGAGAAUUAAAAUGCCAUGGUGAAAAAGAAGCAGCAUCUCUGCUGUCUACCCAACAGUGAUCUGUAUCUGUUUCUCACUUCUGCAUCUUAUGAAGUCAUAAAAUUAAAAGUUUUGGGAACCCUGUAUGAGAGUAAGGUAGGAAGAUAAAUAAGAAAAGUGUGAUCACAAAGUGUAAUCACUUUAUAUUACUGGUGCUUAACAGUUAGAAUUAACAUUCUCUUUUAUGCUAAUUGUGAUGUUUUCCAUUUUAUAUGUGUACAUAAUUUGUUUAGCUGUUUCUCAGAUUAUUGUACCAGUCUCUUAGCCAAGGGUCUUGCUUCUGGUCUCACCACUUCAUCAUUACACCUCCUCCUAAUUCAUUCUUUGCCUUACAGUUUGUUAUAUUUCAAAAGUGCAAAUUCUAUUACGUUACUUGCAUGAAUAAAACUCUUUAUUGGUUAACAAUUGGUCUCAGGAUACAGUGCUAGCUCCUUGGCAGAGCACCUGAGAGUCUCGUGAAAUCAUUUGUGAAAUAAAAAAUGCCAAAACAAAAAAGUUAAAGAAAAAGUGCCAAAACAAAAAAGCUAGAGAAAAUCUAGCCCUUGAUCAUAACAUGUUGCCAUUUUUUAACAAUAGCUUGACAAUGUUAUAACAGCUUAUGAAACAUUUUUUUCAAAAACAUGACCAAUAGCUUCAUACUCCAUCUAUCACCUUUACCAAAAUAUAACUGAAGUUUAUCCUUAAUUUUUUUCAUAAAGGGGAUUAUUUUACCUGAAUUCCUACUAGAUACAAAUUUAGUGAAAAUGUGUAUCAUAAGUUAGUGCAUUCAUAUUCAAUUCAGGCAUUGUCUCUUCUACAAGACCAGGCAGUUGAAGUCUGGGCUAUGUAUCCCUCCUCUUCAUAUCAUAGGGCCCUGCAACUAUUUAUAAUAAUACAUUUAUCUCAUUAUAUCAAAUUAUUGUUUUAGGUGUCUGCCCUCUAGUCCUAUGUGCAACUUAAGGAAAAGUGCAAAGAACUUUAUUUUCAAUCAUUCUCUAUGCUCUCAAAAUGUGCUGCUUGAUGGGAGACAUAACUAUGAUUAAGACAUUAUUCCUUACCUCAAAAAGUUAAAUCUUAAAUUGUGAGAGAGAGAAGAAGAAACUUAUAAUACUGUAUCAUGAGAGAGUAGGCUCUGAUGUUAGUGCUGCCGCUUCUAUAACACUGGGAAAAUUAAUUAAAUGUAGCUGAAAAUGCAAUGACAGUGAUAAUACCUACUUCAAAGAAUUGUUUUAAUGAUUAAAUGAUGAUGAUGAUGAUGAAAAGUUGUUCUUGCCUAUAGUAAGUGCUAAAUAAAUAUGACAAUCUGAACAAAGCUAUAAUAAAAUACUGGUGGUGUGUGCACAAACACUGACAAAACAAAUAAGGAGAGGUGCAUAGAUUUAUUAUAUUUUAACCUAAAACUUAACUGAGAAAGAUAUAAAGGUAUGAUACAUGUUCUAGUGAAUUGUGAAAUAAAUCAUUUUAUUUACCAAGAGAUGGUACUUGAUUAAGCCAAUGUGAACUGAAGCAAUGUAGGAAGAAAGUAAUGGAAGACUUCCCAAAGGAAAUGGUAUCUCGGUUGAGACAGGAAAGAUGAGUAAGCAUUAACUACACAAAGAGGGGCA